CCUACGGGGGGCAGCAGUAGGGAAUCUUUCACAAUGGGCGAAAGCCUGAUGGAGCAACGCCGCGUGCAGGAUGAAGGCCUUCGGGUUGUAAACUUCUUUUAUAAGCGAGAAAUAUGAUGGUAACUUAUGAAUAAGGAUCGGCUAACUACGUGCCAGCAGCCGCGGUCAUACGUAGGAUCCGAGCAUUAUCCGGAGUGACUGGGUGUAAAGAGUUGCGUAGGUGGCAUAAUAAGUAGCUAGUGAAAUCUGGUGGCUCAACCAUUCAGACUAUUAGCUAAACUGUUAAGCUCGAGACCGUUAGGGGUAACUGGAAUGUCUAGUGUAGGAGUGAAAUCCGUAGAUAUUAGAAAGAACACCAAUAGCGUAGGCAGGUUGCUGGGACGGUUCUGACACUAAGGCACGAAAGCGUAGGGAGCAAACGGGAUUAGAUACCCCAGUAGUC
rnacentral:rRNA from 1 species